rnacentral:miRNA from 1 species
GGCUUUUCUGGGAGGUGGGGGAAGGGAUAGGGCAGCCCCUCUGUCCCUUCCCCCACCUCCCGCAAAAGCC